AUUGAACGCUGGCGGCAGGCCUAACACAUGCAAGUCGAACGGUAGCACAGAGAGCUUGCUCUCGGGUGACGAGUGGCGGACGGGUGAGUAACGCCUGGGAAACUGCCCGAUGGAGGGGGAUAACUACUGGAAACGGUAGCUAAUACCGCAUAACGUCGCAAGACCAAAGUGGGGGACCUUCGGGCCUCACCCCAUCGGAUGUGCUCAGAUGGGAUUAGCUAGUAGGUGGGGUAAUGGCUCACCUAGGCGACGAUCCCUAGCUGGUCUGAGAGGAUGACCAGCCACACUGGAACUGAGACACGGUCCAGACUCCUACGGGAGGCAGCAGUGGGGAAUAUUGCACAAUGGGCGCAAGCCUGAUGCAGCCAUGCCGCGUGUAUGAAGAAGGCCUUCGGGUUGUAAAGUACUUUCAGCGGGGAGGAAGGCGGUGAAGUUAAUAGCUUCACCGAUUGACGUUACCCGCAGAAGAAGCACCGGCUAACUCCGUGCCAGCCGCCGCCGUAA
rnacentral:rRNA from 1 species